AGUAGCUCUGAAAUAGCUCCCUCUUCCCCUUCACAUUGCUCUACCUGUUCCCCCACCCCCAAUCCUGUGUCCCCUUCUCUGAGCACACAGCUAGACUGCAUUGCCAGCCUCCUUUGCUGCCAAGUGUGGCCACAUGACUUAAGUUCCUAACAGCAGUGGUGGAGUGAGUCUAUUCUCAAGAAAGAAUCAGCAGGCAGGCUCAGAAUCCCCAAGUGCACACCUAUCAACCCACUACAUGCUGGAAGGCGAGGAGGGCACCUCCAGUGGACAACUUGGAGGAAGGCCAGCUAGAGCAUGAAACCCAAAGGUGCCACAUACCCACACUCCACCCAGCUGAAAGAAGGUGGCUCACAAAAAAUCACCGGAGCAUCGCCUGGGUUCCCACUGCCAGGACUCCACCAAGAUCCCCCCGCGGGGCACAGGCUUUAGCUCGCCACCAGCACGCAGCCCUCUCUCCAGCAAACAAACUGCCAAGGAGUCUUUGAGCUCCCUCUUGGGAUCUUCCCUUUAGGAACUCAGCCACCAUGCUGUGAGAAGCCUGGGUCAUCAAGAGGCCACGUGGAGGUGUUCCAGUAGACAGCCCAGCUGAGCUUCUGGCUGAUGGCUAGCAUCCACUGUCAGCGAUGUGAAUAAGAUCUUGAACAUUUCAGACAACUCCAGCUCCCAUGUGAUUGCAACCCCAGCCAACAUCACACUAGGCAUAAGAACUACCCAGCAGAAUCAAGUCAACCCACACAACUGUGAGAGUUAAUAAAAUGGUUGUUGUUUCAAGUCACUAUGUUUUGGAGGAGUUAGGCUGCAACAGAUAACCCAAACACAAUCUCAGAGAGAACCACUGUUGGUGACAGCGGCCAGAAGGGGCAAAUGUUGGGGCGCCUGGCUGGCUCAGUCAG